CUGACGUGCGAGGGAGUGCUC
rnacentral:miRNA from 1 species